UUCUCUUCAAGACUGGAACAUAUGGGAACCAAAGACAAGCUUAGCCCAACUUUUCCUGUGCUUUUUUCUGAGAAGCCAUUGAUUUCAGUUUUGUUCCCUUGGAAGCCAACUGAAAUUGUGACAUCGUGCAGGAUACCUGGUGGAACUAACUAGAAAAAAGAAAGGAACCUGGGAAAAAGAGAGAGUGGAG
rnacentral:lncRNA from 1 species